UCCCCUUGAUCCGCUAAUGUACGUACUAACAUCACACUCUAGGUGAACCUGCGGAAGGAUCAUUAUCGAGUUAGGGUCUCUGGCCCGACCUCCAACCCUCUGUUUAUACUACCGUGUUGCUUUGGCGGGCUGGCCCUUCACCGGGGCCGUCGGGGGCCUUUUGCCCCUGACCCGCGCCCGUCAGUAGCCUUUUUAAACUCUGUUUAACCGUGGUGUGACUGAGCAAACAUGAAAUUAAAGCAAAACUUUCAACAACGGAUCUCUUGGUUCU
rnacentral:misc_RNA from 1 species